AGGAAAUUUCUGGUGGGCCUUCGCGGCUCCGCUGGGUUGGCAGCCGCUUGAGCCACUGCGAGGAAAGCAAAGUCUGGGCCAUGGAGAUGAGCCUAGUCCUGCUGUUCCUGAUCCGCACUGCCCUUUUUGCACCCCAGGGAGCUGCUGCUGACGGCGCCUCCCUCUGUCGCCAAAGUUGGAGUGCAGUGGCGCGGUCUCGGCUCACUGCAAGCUCCGCCUCCCGGAUUCAAGUGAUUCCCCUGCCUUAGCCUCCUAAGUAGCUGGGAUUACAAGUGCCCACCACCACACCCGGCUAAUAUUUUGUAUUUUAAUAGAGACUGGGUUUCACCAUGUUGACCGGGAUGGUCUCAAUCUCCUGACCUCGUGAUCUGCCUGCCUAAGCCUCCCGAAGUGCUGGGAUUACAGGCGUGAGCCACCACACCUAGCUGGAAGAGGAGAUAAAUAUAUGAAGGUGCUGUUUGGCACAGAAUUUAAUAGGGAAGAAAGAGACAGUAUAACUCACCAGUGCUGGGUCUCAUCAUCCUGCAAUUUCAGAACAACUAUGAAUACAAAAAGAAUUUUAAAAUCCCAGUCCUGCCUAGAAAGGGGAAGUCAUCUCUAAAUAUGGUGGCCCUGGGGCAGCUGGCCUCCCUGCCAGGCCUCUUCCAUGGGGGCCCUUUCUGCAGUGACUGUGGUUUCUUCCCAUUUUACUCUGUCCUGUGUCCUGACUGAAGCGACAAGGUGUGUCUGCAGCUGUGCUCACACCUGGAGGAAACCUCAAUGGUCACAUCCUCUUUCCUGUGUCAAGAAGCAUCGUCCGGGGAGGUGAGAAGAAGACAGUCCUCCCUAGAAUUGAAGAACCAGGGAGAACCAGAUGGGCUGGGCAGGUGGGUUUUCACCUGGAACCUGGAGGAUGAGCAAUGACAUCUCUCCACCCUGAGCUCAGCCCCGGCAUCCACCUCCUGGGCUCAUGAGCAGUGCAGUGGUGCCUCCUAGUGGUCUCUGCUCUUCCUUUUCCAGAUCAAGCACAAACCUGAGAUCCAACUGUCCCUCUUAUGCGCCUGGGUUUCUUCACUGGACACCAGUAUGAGUCAACUUUCCUGUAAAGCAGAACAAGCACGAGAUUGGACCAUGUUAGAGGAGGAAUGGUGUCAUCUCCACUUCUGGAGAGAUCACUGUCCCCGUGUUUGGGGGAAGGACCAAGCCUCACUCCCAUGCAGAGAAGAAGCUCUGACUGUAACUGCACCUGUGGAGAGAGGAUUGCGGCCUGUUGGCAGAAGAGUAGUGUCUUGGGCCCCAGCUGACCUGAUGAAUAUCAACAUCCAAUGCCCUGUAAUGAAGUCAUGUGUGCACAUAUCAUCACUUCUGCAUGCAGUCUCAUGGGAAGAUGGUGCCAAGAACGAAGAAGGAAGCUCCUGCCCCUCCUAAAGCCGAAGCCAAAGCGAAGGCUUUGCAAGGCCAAGAAGGCAGUGUUGAAAGAUGUCCACAGCCACAAAAAAAACAAGAUCCACAUGUCACCCACCUUCCGGCGGCCCAAGACACUGUGACUCCGGAGGCAGCCCAAAUAUCCUUGGAAGAGCACCCCCAGGAGAAAUAAGCUUGACCACCAUGUUAUCAUCAAGUUUCCGCUGACCACUGAGUAGGCUGUGAAGAAGAUAGAAAACAACAGCCUACUUGUGUUCACUGUGGAUGUUAAAGCCAACAAGCACCAGAUCAAACAGGCUGUGAAGAAGUUUGUGACAUUGAUGUGGCCAAAGUCAACACUCUGAUUCAGUCUGAUGGAGAGAGGAAGGCAUAUGUUCGACUGGCUCCUGACUACGAUGCUUUGGUUGUUGCCACCAAAAUUGGGAUCACCUAAACUGAGUCAAGCUGGCUAGUUCCAAAUAUAUGUAUAUCUUUUCACCAUUAAAAGAAUCUUAAUCUCUCAAAAAAAAA
rnacentral:lncRNA from 1 species